CAGAAGAAUCAGCACAUACCUGAUUAUCUCAGUGCUUUGCUCCCAGCUGUUAUAUGAAACUUGUGAACCCACCUGCCUUUAUACUUCGAAGAAGUUUACACCUGCCCUAGCUGGAGAUCUAAACUUCUGAAAUCUAUAGGCAAAGUGAUGACUAAUUCAAAUGCCGUUUUAUAUAUGGAUCUUGUUUGCUCCACUGCCACUAUGGGACUACUCUGGAAGCACAGAAGGAGUCUUCUCAGAAGCUUUGACAACUAUAGAAUGAGGCUACUCACUCCAUUGCAAGGCAGAGAAAAAUGAAUUAAAAAGGACAAAUAACAUGUGUUCUCCAUACUGUAAAUGACCUGACAAAUGCAUGCUGGCCUGAUUACCUUGAUGCCUGGCUUUCUUCAAGACAACUGGAUUAGGGACAAACUCUCUGGUUUGGCAAAGUAGCUCUGUAGGCCGAGUACUGCACCUCUUGGUAAGGCUUACCACUAUGUCCAAUAAAAACAGGUGACCAGAAGAGUCUGAAAUUUUUAGCAGAUAUAUAAAAGGAAGAAUAUAUUAAAUUAAGUUUAUAGAAGAACAAGGAGGAUGACCAAACAAGAGCCAUGCUGGUAAUUUCUUAAUUACUCUAUCUGCUAAAGAAAUAGGUAACAUUUAGAUAAAUUACAUAGACUCCAUGUAGCACAAAGAAGUUACUG
rnacentral:lncRNA from 1 species